AUGGUUGUAUUACAUAUCAAUGAUAUCGCUAUUUUUUGCUUUCACAGUGAUGAUGCGGCAGAGAUUGCUAAAGAUCUUGAUGAUAUUGAACAGAGUGAUUUGAUGAUGGCACUGGGACAAGCAAUGAAGAAAGUUGAAAACAGUGACGAAAUGAAGGCACUAGGUGAAGCAAUUAAGAAGCUUCAAAACAAUGAGGAGGGGGCUAAACUAAUUGCAUCAGCUCAAGCGAUGUAAGUAUUCUUUACCAAGUAAUCUCCCAAAAAAUAUUAAGCAGACCUUCCUCUACUUAAGCUACCACUGCUGAAGCAAUAUGAUCAUAAUCCUUGCGACUGCAAAGAAAUUAGAUGACUUUUAUGGUAGCGUAAAUCAAGAAGUAUCAAGGAAAUCUUAAAAUUGUAAACUCUUUUUCAUUCACAGAUUGACAGAUGAACUUAAAGUGUAAGAGUCCCCAGUCUCACUCCUUUCUUAUCUAUCAUUCUAUAUUCUACCAUUCAUAAUGUUUCUAUCUCUGCAAGAACUACUGAGGAGAUCUAAUGAAACCAUAAAUGUAUCUGUAAUUAUAUCUUAUCUUUACAGACCUCAAGUUGAAGCCAUUACGAAGUGUAUAAAAACAACUAAUUAGAUCCUAGAAGUCCACUUUCAACAGCGGAGCCCUAGAGGUAAACUAACACACAAACACACAAACACACACACACACACACACACACACACACACACACACACACACACACACACACACACACACACACACACAUACGCACACACACACACACAAUAUAUAAGAGAUAAUAACAAGCAUUCGUUUUCAAACAUAAUUACUGAUUGUUUGUUUGUUUUCUAGGCUUCGUCUCGACAACUAUUUCCUGCCUCCUUCAUAUAUUCACGUCUCCAUGGUGACCAGAAACCAUAUGCUUUCAUGUUCUUUCUCUUUUCUCAAGAUAACAAAAUAAAGACUUCCUUGCAUUCAUCUGCUGUGCCUUUUGUGGAAUAAUUUUUGACAACUUUAUUGCAUAGUUGUAAAAUUAAUUAUGGUCCCUCAUCUUCCUGUUUUUUGCGCUGCCUUGAAGCUAAGGCGCAGUCACACUAGCCUAUGAGCUUCUCAAUCUGAACCAAUCAGAGAGCUAGGGAGGACUGCCAGGAACGCAGGCUGCCACAUGCUGCAGGCUCUCAUUGUCACAUCUGCCUGUUUAUUCCCCGGACAGGCCCUCUACUGGUCUGCCUCCCAUCGGCCCAUCGCCACUAAUCACACCUCUGGUGGCGUUAUCGAAACCAUCGCCACUCUGACUGUUACCGAACCAUCGCCUCUCUGACUAUCAGCCCGUUAUUGAGCCAUCGCCUCUCUGACUAUCAGCCCGUUACUGAACCAUCGCCUCUCUGACUAUCAGCACAUAACCUAUCCAUCGCCUCUCUGACUAUCAGCCCGUUAUUGAGCCAUCGCCUCUCUGACUAUCAGCCCGUUACUGAACCAUCGCCUCUCUGACUAUCAGCCCGUUACUGAACCAUCGCCUCUCUGACUAUCAGCACAUAACCAAACCAUCGCCUCUCUGACUAUCAGCCCGUUAUUGAGCCAUCGCCUCUCUGACUAUCAGCACAUAAGCAAACCAUGGCCUCUCUGACUAUCAGCCCGUUAUUGAACCAUCGCCUCUCUGACUAUCAGCUUGUUAUUGAGCCAUCGCCUCUCUGACUAUCAGCACAUAAGCAAACCAUGGCCUCUCUGACUAUCAGCCCGUUAUUGAACCAUCGCCUCUCUGACUAUCAGCUUGUUACUGAACCAUCGCCUCUCUGACUAUCAGCCCGUUACCGAACCAUCGCCUCUCUGACUAUCAGCCCGUUAUUGAACCAUCGCCUCUCUGACUAUCAGCACAUAACCAAACCAUGGCCUCUCUGACUAUCAGCCCGUUACUGGACCAUCGCCUCUCUGACUAUCAGCCCGUUACCGAACCAUCGCCUCUCUGACUAUCAGCCCGUUACUGGACCAUCGCCUAUCUGACUACUAGCUUGUUACUGGACCAAAUGAAAGAUGCUUCAUUUGAAAUGUUUAAAACCGUUAACCUGUAAAUUGUUAUUGAAAUGACAUUACAAAUUACAAAAUAAAUUACAUACAUGAUAUUAAUGAAUCAUAAAAAUAUCUUUCAUUACCGAAAAUAAAUAACGAAUUUAUCAAAUUAUGUAUUAUUAGUUUAUUGUAAUGUUCUAA
rnacentral:lncRNA from 1 species